rnacentral:rRNA from 1 species
GCGGGUCUGAGAGGAUGAUCCGCCACACUGGGACUGAGACACGGCCCAGACUCCUACGGGAGGCAGCAGUGGGGAAUUUUGGACAAUGGGCGAAAGCCUGAUCCAGCCAUGCCGCGUGAGUGAAGAAGGCCUUCGGGUUGUAAAGCUCUUUCAGAUGGAAAGAAAACGUACAGGUUAAUACCUGUGCGGAUGACGUACCAUCAGAGAGAAGCACCGGCUA